CACUCAUUCGGGGCGGACUAGCAAAAAAACACACAUCUCUAUCGCCCCCUCACACAGAAAUACCAACCUCACCUCUCUCCUCUCGUCACCCACACCCUAAACCUAACCCGAUUCCGCCGCCGCCGCCACCGCCCGUCUGCGCCGCGGCCCCCGACCUGCGCGCCGCCGCCCUUCCACUGGUCCCCUCGCGCCACAUCAUCCCGACCCCAACCUCCCUCUAGCCCACAGUGCACCAUCCUCCCAGUAGCAGCAAGCCGUCCACCGCGGCAGGAGCAGCAGCGGCACCGAGGAGAAGCAGCGCCGUCAACCACCACCGGAUAGAUGCAGCAGCACCUUCCACCAGUGAGGAGAAGCAGUACCGUCAGCCACGGAGGAUCCACCGUGGUUUCCUGCUGAUCUUCUUUCCUCCGCCCAGCCUACAAAAUUAAAGAGGGGAGAUCGGGAUGCUGCGCGCCGCGCCCUGCUUGGAUCUGAUGGAGCGGGGGAGAUAGUGGUCGGGGCAUGGGAUGGCGCCUUCGUCGUCAGACCAUUGGGAUUCAGCAUAUUUCUGCAGUCUUCUUUAGAGAUCAGGAGGGUUCGAUUCAACACAAUUCCGGGCUUGGGUUCCUGUCGAACAAAAUCAUCUCGACAGCAUUCCUCUUUCUUGCUUCUUAUUAGUCAAACUCUGAAAUCAAUUUCUAUAUUUUAGUGGGUACUUAAUUGAUUUGAUAGGCUAUAUCUACGUGUGAUGCAUCAACUAGGCUUUGUAAAUGGAUACAUAGUGUUUUCUGGUUAUUUUCUUCAAUAAUUAUGUGUUCCCAUUUCUCCCACUCAACAUGUUACAGAAUUUAGUGAUUAACAUUUAUCUACCGAAUUACAAUUCAGUCAAGCAUUACAAUCUUUAUGCCAAAACUAAACAAUAGAACAAAGUCUGCGUGGGAUUUGUAUUGCCAGCUAUGGCUUCAAAAAACAAAACCAAUAGUAAGUUAUUUAUGUACUAAUUCCCCUAAUGAUAUUAGCAUAUGUUGUUUGAAUUUAACUAUUGAAGAGCACAUGAAUGGUACUAGCAUCUAGGAUUGAGGGAUUAAAAGUUUACAAAAUUUCAAAGAAAUUGUAUGUUGGUUUCAUCUCUUUGUUGUUCUGAAAUUGCCGCCCUUGUUGAAUUGUUCUCUAUCACAUCUAAAGCAAAAUUUUACAGUUAGCAUAUGUGAUGGACUAUAUUUUUAAUUGGGGCUCGAGUAUAAUGGACUGGGAAUCAUUCUCUUAAUGAUCUGGUACUCUUGAACUCGUGCAUGAAACGUGCUUUUGUCAUAUAUAUUUCUCCCGAGGUUUGUGGGGAAUAAGAAAUUUAGAUAAAGAUAUGAUAUCUACACAUAUAGUAUAUCUUAAAGUCUGAAAGUCAGUCUUUCACUGUCCCUUUGAACCUUCUUCCCAACCUUUGAGGAUGUACAUAGCACCCUGCAGAGAUAACUUUUUUUAGAUGUGUAGAGCACUUCUUGAUGUUCAUCUUACCAGCUAGAUCUCACAUGUAACAACUAUGCGGUAGAAUAAACUUUUGCGAACACAAGAAAAAAUUGCAUUCUGCUGGAUUUUCUGUUACAGUUUUCAUGUUGUUUUUUUCCUGUUGAGGGGGACUAUUCAAAUAUGCUGAUGGUCUAAAAAAACCUAUGUAUACAUUAACAUCAAACAAUUAUGCAGAAAGUGGACCUUUUAAGUUCAGGAAAACCGCUUGAUGUCAUUUCACUCGGUAAAUGUCAGUCUGGUUUAGUCUUCUCUAAAGCUAUUUGACCCCAGCUACAUGGUCCAGUAGCAAUAACAGCCACAUGAUGGCCAAUUCAGAAAUACCUUUAGUGAUAUGUUGGAGUACAACCACAUGGUUAGAGUUUCCAUGUUAAAUCACUCCUUUCUUUUAUUAAUACUUAUUUGGUGAAGUUCUUGGCUGCAAUAUUACAAAGUUCAUGUGAAUGUUGUAUUGAAAAGAGAGGUGGAGCUUGCUUGUGGAUAUGAUGGAAUGCAAACAAUGGGCGAUGCUCACCACAUGUCCAUUGCAUGGCCAUCAAAUAGGAUCAAACCUUGCUCCAAGUCAUGGUUGUCGUCAUCGCAGAGUUCAGUUAUUAUUCCUGUCAACAUCACCAUGUUCUAUCUGACACUUGGAACUGAGAGCAAGGACAAACGGGAGAAAGUAGCAUGUACUGAAGUUGAUCUAGGAUGUUCUGUUGUUCAUAUGGAAGUUGAUAUCGGCUUGAUCAAAGACCGGGUAUCUCCCAUAAUAUUUUGUAGUAGCCAAGUGAUCGAACAUUUGGUCUCUUGAGAACUUGCUCAUCAUAUUUUGUAACUGGCCAUGACCUGAAUGUCGACUUGUAUUUUUCCUUAAUGGCUGGAGCUAACUUGAGUGAAGAAAACUAGUGAAUCUUCUAUAUACUAGAUGACCCGUUGCGCCAAUGGCGCAAAGGCCGAAUGUAAGCCAGGUAUUGUAAGAAUGUGCAUUAACAUAUUGUUGUUCGAAAA